rnacentral:misc_RNA from 1 species
CUGAGUUUUUCAACUCUCCAAAACCAUGUGAACUUACCACUGUUGCCUCGGUGGUUGGUCUUCAGGACUGACCACCGGUGGACUACUAAACUCUUGUUAAUUUUUUGGCAUUCUGAAUCAUAACUAAGAAAUAAGUUAA